UGGUAAAAAGCAACCCGUCAGAGUUCCCACACUGGUGCCACUGAAACUCACAAUCCCUUUGUAUAUAACUUUGUUGUUAGCAUAACAGAAAAAGCCAAAUUCUCAGGAGCACCAUUAAGCUCUUGUUUGUACCAAUGUCCAAGAAUGAGAUUGGUACGGGAAACUGCAUUAAACGUUCCACCAGAGAAGCUGAAACAAAAAAAUAUCAAAUUCCAUUUAUUUAUCCAAAUAAUCUUGAUUUAAUAGUCAAGAUUUGAUUAUCCUCUUCUCAACGGGGCCAGGAGGCCAACAA
rnacentral:misc_RNA from 1 species